CACAGAGCCAGGGUGUUCAUCCCCCCAAGUUACGCCUAGAAAGCCUUUACCCAGUCGGGAUGAAGACUUCUCCACCCAGCCACCCCACUCCCUUAGUCUUCCUAGGUUACAGACUCUACCCCUCCCCUCAGCGAGGCCACUUCUAGUUAUGGAUAAAAUUGCGUACUACAGUAGGUAGGGUGGAUACUCAGAUAGUCCUGUACAACACCUAUACAAACUGUCUCAAUUCAUUAACAAACGAACUACCGAAGGACAAGAUUGCAACUUCCCCUUUCUCCUCUCCUCUGAGACCCUCCC
rnacentral:lncRNA from 1 species